AAAAUGAUCAUGUUAAUUAAACUUCAGCCAGUAUUGACAUUUGGAAGAGUUGCUGUGAUCCUGAUGAGAGCUGUCAUUCUUCUGCUUCAUGUCCACACUCUCAUGCCCCACCAAAGGAACAAACUGAGCUUCAGGGGUUGCUUGCUCCAACAGGACUGCUUGGAUUUUGAAAACUACAGCACAGCAGCCUACCGGACUAAAGAUACCUUCUUACUUUUGGCAGAAAACUUUUGCUUUUUUUUUUUUUUUUCUUUCACCUCCUUAUAAUUUUCCUAUGUCUUUUAUUUUUUAAAGCACUUCCAACAUCUGUUUGUGUGUGCACAUAUGUAUGCACUUGCUUCCGUGCCGCUGAUGGACUCAUACUGUGAGCACUGAGAAGGCAAAGGGUUAUGUGGUCUCUCUGCCUCAGUUCCUGUGUUGUUUUGUUCCCUGAGGAAAAUUAACCGUAUGAAAUGCAGUCUGGUUUUCAAAAAAAUAUCAAUGCAAGAUCAACAAAUUAAUGCUGGCAGCUUUCCUACCCGGUACUUUCCAAUUUUCCCAUGCACAGAUUCCCCUGACAUGUUUGUCUCUACCACUGAGGACAUCUACUGAUUCAAAGCCCUCUGCUCUGCAAGCACAGAGCCUGUGCCGUGUACCAGAGUGUGGACCAACCGCAGGCACGGACACCUCUCUUUCAAGACAGUCUGGUUCCCCAAGACGUGACCCAGCAUUUCAGCUAGAGAAAGAAGAAAGCCCUUGGAGAAGGAGUUACUGGCUGGUAUUUCAGUUCAUACUGGAAUGCCACAGUUAAUUGUUGCAUCAUUGCAUUCAACAGAAGCUGAAUCUAGGCAUCACAUAAACAGGCAAAGAUAUCCACAAAAGACAGUAUCUUACAAAGUUGUUUCGUUUCAGAUUCAUCUGUCUAAGGCAGCCAUUGACAGUGACUCUGUGUAACUUUUAAUUAGUGUAUACCUACAAGACUUUAAUAAACUAUUUACAAAUGGGCUGCUCUGUCA
rnacentral:lncRNA from 1 species